AUUGAACGCUGGCGGCAUGCCUUACACAUGCAAGUCGAACGGCAGCACGGGAGCAAUCCUGGUGGCGAGUGGCGAACGGGUGAGUAAUAUAUCGGAACGUGCCCAGUCGUGGGGGAUAACGUAGCGAAAGCUACGCUAAUACCGCAUACGAUCUAUGGAUGAAAGCGGGGGAUCGCAAGACCUCGCGCGAUUGGAGCGACCGAUAUCAGAUUAGGUAGUUGGUGGGGUAAGGGCUCACCAAGCCGACGAUCUGUAGCUGGUCUGAGAGGACGACCAGCCACACUGGGACUGAGACACGGCCCAGACUCCUACGGGAGGCAGCAGUGGGGAAUUUUGGACAAUGGGCGCAAGCCUGAUCCAGCAAUGCCGCGUGCAGGAUGAAGGCCUUCGGGUUGUAAACUGCUUUUGUACGGAGCGAAAAGGCUUCCACUAAUACUGGGGGCUCAUGACGGUACCGUAAGAAUAAGCACCGGCUAACUACGUGCCAGCAGCCGCCGUAAUAC
rnacentral:rRNA from 1 species